AGAGUUUGAUCCUGGCUCAGGAUAAACGCUGGCGGCGCACAUAAGACAUGCAAGUCGAACGGAAGUCGUUGUAAUGAUAUAGACAUGGACUGAGAACUUGUUCAAAGAAAGUGAAAGUUGACUUACAACAAUGGCUUUAGUGGCGGACUGGUGAGUAACACGUAAGCAACCUGCCUAUCAGAGGGGAACAACAGUUAGAAAUGACUGCUAAUACCGCAUAUGCCUUAGCAACACAUGUUGCAAAAGGGAAAGGAGCAAUCCGCUGAUAGAUGGGCUUGCGUCUGAUUAGAUAGUUGGUGGGGUAACGGCCUACCAAGUCGACGAUCAGUAGCCGGACUGAGAGGUUGAACGGCCACAUUGGGACUGAGAUACGGCCCAGACUCCUACGGGAGGCAGCAGUCGGGAAUAUUGCGCAAUGGAGGAAACUCUGACGCAGUGACGCCGCGUGCAGGAAGAAGGUUUUCGGAUUGUAAACUGCUUUAGACAGGGAAGAACAAAGACAGUACCUGUAGAAUAAGCUCCGGCUAACUACGUGCCAGCAGCCGCGGUAAUACGUAGGGAGCAAGCGUUAUCCGGAUUUAUUGGGUGUAAAGGGUGCGUAGACGGGAAAUUAAGUUAGUUGUGAAAUCCCUCGGCUUAACUGAGGAACUGCAACUAAAACUGAUUUUCUUGAGUACUGGAGAGGAAAGUGGAAUUCCUAGUGUAGCGGUGAAAUGCGUAGAUAUUAGGAGGAACACCGGUGGCGAAGGCGACUUUCUGGACAAUAACUGACGUUGAGGCACGAAAGUGUGGGGAGCAAACAGGAUUAGAUACCCUGGUAGUCCACACCGUAAACGAUGGAUACUAGGUGUAGGAUGUGAUAAACAUUCUGUGCCGUCGCAAACGCAAUAAGUAUCCCACCUGGGGAGUACGGCCGCAAGGUUGAAACUCAAAGGAAUUGACGGGGGCCCG
rnacentral:rRNA from 1 species